rnacentral:rRNA from 1 species
UUGAACGCUGGCGGCAUGCUUUACACAUGCAAGUCGAACGGCAGCGCGGGCUUCGGCCUGGCGGCGAGUGGCGAACGGGUGAGUAAUACAUCGGAACGUGCCCAGUAGUGGGGGAUAGCUCGGCGAAAGCCGGAUUAAUACCGCAUACGACCUGAGGGUGAAAGCGGGGGAUCUUCGGACCUCGCGCUAUUGGAGCGGCCGAUGGCAGAUUAGCUAGUUGGUGGGGUAAAGGCCUACCAAGGCGACGAUCUGUAGCUGGUCUGAGAGGACGACCAGCCACACCGGGACUGAGACACGGCCCAGACUCCUACGGGAGGCAGCAGUGGGGAAUUUUGGACAAUGGGCGAAAGCCUGAUCCAGCAAUGCCGCGUGUGUGAUGAAGGCCUUCGGGUUGUAAAGCACUUUUGGCGGGAACGAAAAGGACUGUGCCAAUACCACGGUUCGAUGACGGUACCCGCAGAAUAAGCACCGGCUAACUACGUG